rnacentral:rRNA from 1 species
UACGGGGGGGGGCAAGCGUUGUUCGGGAAUUACUGGGCGUAAAGGGCUCGUAGGCGGCCAACUAAGUCAUACGUGGAAUCCCUCGGCUUAACCGGGGAACUGCGUCUGAUACUGGAUGGCUUGAGAUUGGAGAGGGAGUGCGGAAUUCCAGGUGUAGCGGUGAAAUGCGCAGAUAUCUGGAGGAACACCGGUGGCGAAGGCGGCGAUCUGGCCCAACAUUGACACUGAGACCCGAAAGCGUGGGGAUCAAACAGG